CAGCAUAACCAUACUUCCUAAAAUUCGCCAACUCAUCAGCAUAUACAGUAUCCCAAUAACUUUGAAAACCCAGAAAUGAUGAAAUCAGCUUCAGCAUCUAGCUUCUCCUCGUUAGAAUUGCUCAUUGCAAGAAGGAAAUUUCACAAAUUUCGGAUAAUUGCUGAUAGCUAGAAUUUUGGCAACUAUAAUUCCUUUAAACAAAUUGUAUUAGUGUUGUGGUUGAAGGGCAUCACUUCCAAACACAAGAAAUUAAUACUGAUUGGUUCAUUAUAAGAACUUCUCUCUACUGUUUAUUCUGUAAAUUAUCAACUUGUUGAUAAAAAGUAAACUUUGUCCUUAUUAAAUUGUUAUACUGUAACAACUAAUACAAUUUUAAAUGCUAGCAAUACAAACUAUGCAUUAAAAAUUAAUAAAACACAUAGGCUGACAUAAAAUAAAAGCAUAGAUUAUCAUAGNUACACAUGACAAAUAAAGUAAAAUCAAGUCCGCACAUUACAUUAACUCUUGCUAAUUACGAGGUGUCCAUUUUCUUCCGCACUUUUCUCUUGAAGGAUCAUUGAUUUCUUAACGAAAAACCACAAAAUUGAGAGGAUUAGUGAAGUAACAAAGAGGACUUCUAUUUUGAGGUCGUCACACCACCCCCCAACAAACCCUCACCCAAAACAAAAGAAAAAGAGUACAGCUGAUGCCCAAAAAUGCAGCAUACCUCAUCUAUAAAUCCAAGGUAAUUAAUAGUAUUUCCUCAAAUAUAACAUUUUGGCAUUUUCCAAAAUCUAUCCCUAUCCUACAACUAUCGUAUACAAAGCAUACCUCAUAAAAUACCUUAACCUAAGCAAAGAAAAAGUAAUCAUGUUUGGUUAUAAAUUAUACAAAAAAAAAAAAAUAAUAAUAAUAAUAAUAAUAAUUAAAGUUAAAAACACCAAAUUGCCAAAUAAAAAAGACCUUCAAAUAAACAUAGAGAUAAAAUAUGAAAAAAGUAUAAACCUGAAGUUAUUGAGGUGUUAGUCUCUGUCUUUGGGUAGAGAAAAAAUCUCGCCAAACUAUGAAUUUUUUUUGGUUGGUUGUCAAUAUCUUU
rnacentral:lncRNA from 1 species